rnacentral:misc_RNA from 1 species
UUUCCGUAGGUGAACCUGCGGAAGGAUCAUUCAUAAUAAAGUGUUUUAUGGCACUUUUUAAAAAUCCAUAUCCACCUUGUGUGCAAUGUUAGAUCUCGUCAAUCUUGGCGAGAUUUUUAUACAUCAACUCAUCCUUUAACGAAUUUGUCUGAAAAAUAUUAUGAAUACUUAAUUCAAAAUACAACUUUCAACAACGGAUCUCUUGGCUCUC